GUUUGUGUCUCCAGGCUCCACCCGGCCGUCUCCAAGGAGAUUUGUGUCCACAAGUCGAGGUCUGCGUGACUUUUUGGGUGUUUGUGGAGCCUGGAAGGUUUGAGGAUUAGGAGCCCAGCGGUGUGGCGGGUUCAGGCCUCCAGUCAGCCGUGCUGCUGGACGCCGCCGGGGCCCGCCAGCCGGUUAACCGGUCAGCCGGGGUCAGCCAAGGUCAGCGGCUCCUGCUGCUCAGCUUCUAGACCUGGAGGGUCCAGGAAGGAGAGAACCUGGAAAACAAACAGAGUCAAGGAGAGCAAAAUUACUCAAAAACACCAAAAACUCAGAGUUUGGUUCCAUCGUCCUGCCUGAAGACCCAACUGGAGCUUUUCCAGCACCCAGCUGCUGAUUUAAGGUGGAGGACGUCUGCACCAGUUCUUCACCUCGACUCAACCAAAGCUAACUCUGCCAUAAACAGUUUAUCCAUCAGAAUGAUGCUACAAGCUAACGCCUUCACCUCAAGUUCAUUCUCGUUCAUGAUGGUGAAGUCGUUCAUUAGGAAACGCAGGCAGCAUCCUGCCAGUCAACCAGGCAGAUUAGAUUCACCCUCCCUCCCUGGAAUGACGUUUGCUUUGAUUUUAAAAAGUUUACAUCCCAAUAACUAACACAUGAUGAAAAAAUUAAACGCUAGCUACUCGCUAGGUUUUGCAAGCAUGUAAAGAAGCAAAAUGUCUGUCACCUCAAUGAGCUUCACCUCAAUGAGCUUCACCUCACUGAGCUUCACCUCAAGCUCACUGAGGCGAAGGCGUGAGUUAGUUAACCCUCAAGACUUUAACGCGUUCAUUUCAGGUAAUUAAUUAUGCAUUAAACUUUUUAACACAACUAAACACUUUUUUUUUACAUACAAAGGUUUUAACCGGAACCUUUGUAUUCACGUAUUUCCGGUACGCCGGUAAUUCUGACGCACAAGCUGUCAUGUUCUGUGUUUUUCUGUGUAUUUAUUUCGAGUUUCUGUGUCUCUGAGUUUCCCUGUUGUCCCGUCUCCCUCGAUUAGUUCCCAGGUGUGUCUCAUUCUCUGAUUACCUCGUGUGUGUCUCUGUGUCUCUGUGUCUCUGUCGGGUCCUUGUCUACGCAGUCGUUUGUUUGCCUCAAGUCUGUCUAGCUGUGAUUACCUAGUCCUUCGUUGCUCCAGUGCUACCGACGUUGAGCCCUGGCUUUCUGCUCAGUCGUGCUGCCUGGCAGUGAACUACUAGGUUUUGUCUGGACUGUGGAUCAGUAUUUAUCAUUAAAACAACCAUCAAUCAUCUCAACCUGGGUCUACAGCGUUUGUCUCGCCACCUUCACCGUUUCAUGACUCAAGCAACAUCCGCUAACAACAGCGAUGCAUCCAAGACGCUCCUGUUGGGUUUUACCAAACAUUUCAGCAUAAACCCAAAACCAACAGAAACAGUUCAAUUCAAUGAUUUAACUUUACUGAGUUUUUCCAACCGUCAAUUCAAAAGGAAUCAGAAGAAUUAUAAUUUCCAGAGACUCAAUAAACAAAACGUGAAUUUUUUCACUGUUUUCUUUAGAUUUAUAACAUUUCAACAUUUCCACAUGAAUCGACUCCAAAACAGAUCAAUUUAAAGCAAAGAGCUGGAAGAGGAGGAACCGUCAUCCACAGGUUUCAGCUACACAAUCCUAAUUAUGCAGUUUGGGGUUAAUCCUGUAAACACUCUCACUAAUCUAAUCUGCUUCAGCUUAAUGAGACAGAAUGUAAAUGUUGACCCGGUCAUCGUUCGUUCUGUGGGGGGAAACCGGGUUUUAAUGCUUCCAGCUUUUUUAUUUUCUCAUUAGCAUCAGGAUUAGAUGUGUUUGUUAUCAGUGGCAGAGCCGUUAGUGAGCUGAUGGCAGUAAUGGAGGCCUGCUGUCUGAACUGGGCUGCAGAUAAAACCAACUGGUUUAGGUUGAGCCUGUGGUGAAGCAGAACCACACCAACUGGACCCGUGUAGACGGAUCGGUUCCUCCAGAAGAACAGAAAGAACCAGGAGAAUAACCCAAUGAAAAGACGUUCAGAGCUCAAACUCUAACGGAUUUUACUAAAAUUUUAUGUGAAAAACCAAAACAAAGUUGUGCUUAUUGGUGCAAUGGAAGCAACUUUUCUGCUAAAUUACCAAAUAAAUAGACAUGUGAGCUAAACAGCAAAGAUAUUUAUAGUUUUUAAUCUGUUAUUCAACCAUCAGAUUGGAGCAACGUGUUGUUCUCCAUUAAGCUGCCCAGAGCUUCUUUAGAAAUGUAGACAGCGGACGCUGACAUUAGCAUUAGCCGCUACAUGUUAGCAUUGAGAGGCUACUUUAGGUUUGAAUAGUUUCACUGAUACGCUAACUGCUGUUAGCACAACUUGAACACAACAGUCAGCGUCCAAUCAGAUUGUUUUUUAAAGCAGAACUCAACCGUCAGUGGGCUGAGAGAAGCAGCUUCGUCGUCCAUCGCUGUUGUUAGCGGAUGUUGGUUGUGCAUCAGAUUUACUGCUGUACCAGAAACACCUGAACACAAAGGUUCCG